rnacentral:lncRNA from 1 species
CAACCCCCUCUCACUUCACCUUCUCUGCAGAAACCCUAGAGACGCCGCCUUGAAACCCUCUGUCGGCGGAGACGCCUCAGACCAUCCCAAACACCACCAAUUUAACACCCUAGAUUCCCCGUCACCACCUCUUUUAUAAUAUCCAAACCGAUUCCCUCAAAUCCCCGCAUAGGUGUUCGAAUCUUAGAUCUAAACUCUGACCCCAAAAACCCGAAUUCAACCAAACCACCCCAAAACUAUACCCCACACUCUUCACACUCCUCUGAAACCUAAACUACCAUCACCUUCCCAAAAAACCCCACCCGUUUGUCCCAAUUUGGAAUCUGGUUCCAAGAAGAAAUUGAAAACCCUAUUUUGCUUCCCUUCUGAGUUCAAGAGGAUUUGAGGAUUGAUUUGGGGUCAAAAUUUAUGCCAGAUGAUUGUUCUUAUCAAGAGCAAUUGAUUAGUACCAAUUCUGGCACAUUUCAAAGUUCACCAAAGUUCACAUAUCAUCAAGAACCGGCAAACUUUGUUCAUACAUGCAAUAGGUAUUUAUUUUCAUUUCCUCUUCCCAUUUUUAUCCUUCUUCUCUUCGUCACCUUUUCUCUUCUACAUCACUUUGGUUUCCCCUCAUUUUUUCUGUUUCUUUGAUCAACAAAUGAAGCUUUAGGUUUUAGAUUUUGUUCUAUUCGUAUGUUUAAUCAGUAGUGUUAAGGCUCAUUAGUGUAGGCAUCUUCAUCAAAGUUCAAGUGUUCCAUUUCUUUGGCUGGGUUUUGUUUUUGUUUAAUUACAUGACUUAGAUUUCGGAUUUUAAGUUUGUUAAUUAGUUUUUUUGCUUAAUCUUUAAUAAUAGUCAGUUAGUUUAGGGGUAAUGUUUGAGUUUGCCAUAAGGUCAUUAGGGUUCCAGUUUUCAAUUUGGGUUUAUUUUGUGUUUAAUGCAAUUGAAAUCAGCAUGUUAGUAUCAUUUGAUUCCCUGUUAAUUGGCUGGUUUAAUUGCUUCAAAGGUUGAAAUAGGGCAUUCAUUGGUUGUUUCUUCCUAAAUGUCAGUUUCAAUUGCUCAAUUGUUGGUUAAUUUCUUAUUUCAUUUCAUGUUAAGUCUAUUUAGGUUUUAGAAAUUGACACCAUUUGAUUAUGUUUGCCUAUGGUUUCUGUUAGAAGAUUGUUUGCCUUGGUUUGUAAAUGCAUAGGACUUUUAGAGGGUUAAUUGAAUAACUAGGAACUUAAGGGGGUAAUUUGGGGAUUGUUAACCUGAGAGAAUAUUUAGUAACUGAUUGGAAAGCUUCUUAAAAUGUACAGGUGCCCAAAAUUGUUAGCAUAAGAGGCUAAAAAAUGAAAAUAUCUGAAAGGAAAGGGGCAGCUGUACAUAAGUCAGUUUUAAAAGAUGCCCUAUGAGAGGUAUUGGAAAAAGAACCUAUUUCCUUGACUUGGAAGGCACACAACAGAUUUCUGUUGUAUAAAUAAGGCUUUCCCCUCACUCUUCAUAUACGAAAAACAGACCUGAAAAUCUUUUCAAAAAAAAUCUCUCAAAUAGGAGGCUUUUCUCUUAUUCUGGGUGAAAAGAAAAAAAAAGAAAGAAAGAAAAAACUGAACAAUCUUGUUGGUAUUUCUGGGUUUUUGGAGUUCUUAUUACUUGAGGCUGAAGCUGUUUGCUGACUAUUUGCUUCCUUGCUCUCUAUUUGUCGAAGUAGCUGUGUUUUAUUUGAUAUUUUGGAGCAGAAUUUCAGGCACUAAGGUACACAUCAUGGCCUUAUGCCAAAAUACUUUUAAUCUUGACCUCACAUGAAUGCUAGAAGUGUUGUUUGAAUGAUAGAGUGUAUAUCUAUGUUGAUUCUUGUUUCAUAUGCUUGAAAACAUGCUUUUCUUGUGCUUCAAAUACCUUAGUUGAUAUCUGUUAGGCUUGAGCUCUAAGUACACUGUUUUUUAUCAUUCAUGUCUAACAUUUUGCUUUAUGGUUUGAGUUGUGAGUAUUGGCCAGGGGUCAGCAUGUGUGAAGUAUGGCUCUUGUUGGAUUUGAUCUCAACAUAAUCAGAUCCAUGAGAGUUAGAAGCUGAAAUUGAUAUUAUUCCUAUGUGGGAAGAGCUGGCAGCUUAUGGAGGAUUACAAUCUAAAUGUAGAUUUGGUUUUAGUGGUGUUGAGUAAUUUUGUUUGUUAUUUCAUAGGACAAGGCUUAUUAAUCUCCAUUUACUAGUUAUUUGUUCUUUAAUGAUUCAAAAUUUUGUUAAAAUAGUACUGAGCUUACAUGUAAAUUAAUGUUAUGUGUAUAAAAAGUCGUAAGGGUCAGAGGUGAAUGCUUCAGUUAGUUUAUUUGGUGUUUAAACAUGCUGGUAAUACCAAAUGAGUUGUAUAAUGAUUUAGGUACUGUUGACUUUUCCAGAUUUUGCCUCUAUGUUGUUUUGCCAUGUUUGGGCCUAAUGCCAGGCCCAAGAAUAUUCACCCCAUCCCUUUUUCUUUUCCUUGCACUUUUUGUUUAAUGGAUUGGUUUGGCAACUAAAGCCCAUCGUCCUACUGGAUCUUUAUUUGGCUUGAUAUUAAUGUUGUGUGUAGUUGGCACCCAUUCUGCGAGAUGGGCUCAAUUUCGAGCCCAGUCCAAUGCAUGACUCGUGAGUCCCAGUUGGUCUGCAACUGGUUCAUUCUCUAUCGAGCAAUCAAAAUCACUUAAUUGCCUCAAUGUGUGGCUGUAACUAGGACCUUAGAUUAAAACUUCGAGUUAUAUAAAUUUUGAGUGGAUUCACCAAGAGCCUUAUAGUUUACUAAUUGGACGUAGUUAUGUUAGAGCGAGGUGUGCCAUAGUAAUUAAAUCACUUAUGGCCCUCAUUAAUUUUAUAGCCUAGAUAUAAAAGAAAUGAACUUCGUAGUUUGCUUUAGGCGCGUUGAUUAUAUAAUUAUCACGGCUAUACUAAAAUCCGGGUGUACAUUUCAUGUGACCCGGUUCUAAUUUUCGACAAGGUUAAAUAGAACGUGCCGUGAAUCACGGGUGCAUUUCAUAUAGCGUGGUUUUCGACGUGUUUUAAAUAACCUUGAAAUAACUCUUUAAAUAAAUAAAAGCGGCAAAAAAGUAAAAAAUGCACGUAUGUUUAAAAUGUGUAAUUAAUCAGAUAAUUAGGCCAAUGUUAAUAGUUGAGCGACCGUGCUAAAACCACGGAACCCGAGAAUGCCUAACACCUUCUCCCGGGUUAACAGAAUUCCUUACCCGGAUUUCUGUAUUUGCGGAAUAUAAAACAGAGUCAAUCUUUCCUUGAUUCGGGAUUUUUAACCGAUGACUUGGGACACCAUAAAUUAUCCCAAGUGGAGUCUCUGAUUUAAUAAAUAAUCUCGUUUCGAUUGUCACUUAAAUUUGAAAAACUCCCUUAUACCCUUUCGGGUGUAGGGAAAAGGAGGUGUGACAGCUCUGGCGACUCUGCUGGGAACUGAACCCAGAACUUUUGGUUCAGGGUUCAGAAUUUGAGCUUAGAAUAACUGUUAUAGUUGGCUUUUAUUUAUUAUCUGAUUUUUUAUAUGUUUGGGCUUAAUGUGCUAAAUGUUGCCUUUUACCGCUUUGAUAUUGUUGAAUUGUAUAUAAAUUGUUAUGAAUCCCUCCUCUCUCUGAGUCUUCUAAAUAAUUUGAGAAGGGUGCACUUCGUGUAGCUUCUCUUCUGUUAGAUUCAUAUCCCAAUUUUAGAACGAGGUUCGGACAAGUUGCGAAGCCGGUAAAACUUCUGUAUUCCCGGUACGCUGCCCCCCCCCCCCCACCUCCCCGGCUCGAGUUGUCCGCUCAUGUAAGCCAGGUCUAGUAACAAAUAAAGCCAGGUUUUCAAACCUAGUAUAACAUAGCCUCAUGUCGGAUCCCUAGUAGGAACGCUUGUUUGCAUCACGUGCAUUUGACUUUGGGGACUCAACACAGGGGUUGGGUCCAUCUAGGACAAGUGCACCCGAAAUCAAAAGAUCAUCCUGAUGCAUUUUACUUGCUACUUGUACAUUUAUUUGACUCGGAUUACAUGCUGAUCGACUUUUGGAAUAGGAAAAAAUUAAGAAAAACCAAAUUGAGGGGAGAGAGAGGAAAUUACCCGCAUGUGAAAAAAAACCUGGUGUCCAAAAUACCCCGAAACUCUACCAAAAUUUUCAAAAAAAAAGGAAAAAAGGCUAUUUCAAAUGUUUAUGCUUUCUGUUGCGUCAAAAUUGAUCGAACUUUGCAAGUUUUAUUCUCACCGGAUGUGGGAUACGCAGACAACCCUCAUCGGGUCCAACUCCAUUUUUGCAAAAUAACCCAAAAAAUAUGAAGUGUCACUAUUUUGUCAUAAAUGAAUUAGGUGACCCGUUCUUGUCUAAAAUAGCCAAAAUUCCCCAAAAAGACGCCGAAAGGUUGUUUUUGCAAGAAUAGCCACCUAGGGUCCUUUUCAAAUUUUGGUUGAUUAACAAACACAACCCUAAAAUUUUGUUUCUUGAGGUGCUGAAGGCUGUGGUCGCAAAAGUGUUUUGUUUCAAAUUGCAGUUUUCGAAAAUUGGUAUUUUCUCUUGGGUCAAAGUAAAACGUGGUCUUUUAACCAAUCACUUUAAAAUAAAUGUGCAGGAUGAGCACGAUUGAAAAUGAACAUUUCACAGUCCUCGAGGAAAUCCCAUUAGAACUCCAUAUGUGGUGGAAUGAUUUGGGGGAAGUCAGCCGAGAUACUGUGGUAAAAGCCUUGGGCGGUCUUGUUGGUCUCCUGAAGAUUAAGUCGAGAAAGGAUAUAAUUGAGGCGUUGAUACCCUUUUGGGACCCAGCGCAUAAUGUGUUCCAUCUUGCUGAUUUUGAGCUAACCCCUACGCUUGAGGAAGUAUGGGGCUAUGCUGGUUUUGGUGCGAAUCUCAGAAAUCAAUACCCAGUGGCACUUAGAACGGUGACUCCUCAUAAGUUUCUGGAUCUUCUAAGCAUCAGUCGGGAAGUUCAAGACAGAAAUUUGGCUAAGGGAUUCUGCACAUUCUACUUCUUAUACCGACGUUACAGAAAUCCGUGUGGUUUUGAGAUGCCAGAUAUAGGUUUUACUCAUUCGGGGAACAAAGAUAAGUGGGAAGCUCAGCGGGGACUGGCUUUUAUAGUGGCAUUCCUGGGUGUUUUGAUUUGCCUAAGAUAGGAUGGAAACAUAGAAUUGGGGCUUGUGAGAAUAGCCGACGUCAUGACUAAAAGGUCUAAUGGAACCAUUGUAACGAUGAUCUUGGAGGAGAUUUACCGAGCUCUAACUGUUUGCCGAGAAGGAGGAAAGUUUUUUGAGGGAUGCAAUAUGCUUCUACAACUCUGGAUGGAGGAACACCUCUGCCACCGUCCGGGGUACAUGAACUAUGGCAUGACCGGUCUUAAAUGUAUUGAAAAACAUGAAAAACGGGUGGAGGGCCAUGAGUUUCCGGAUAGUACGGAAGCAUGGUUCGCACAUUUGAGCUCCCUGACCGCAAACAAAGUUGAGUGGACAUUCGGGUGGCUCCCGGUCAAUGAAGCCAUUUACAUGUCGGCUAAAGUAUGUUUUCUUCUAUUAAUGGGUCUCCGGAGCAUUCAGCCUUACGCCCCGCACAGAGUUCUACGCUAGCUAGGUAAGUACCAGACUAUUCUGCAUGAUGAGGAUUUGAGUCGGCAGGUCAUCGAACUGGGACCAAAAGCAGCUUCCCCGAAAGAAAGGGUGCGUCGGAUUUGGCAUCAGUGUAGGUUCUUAGAGCCAAAAACUCAGGUACGGGAUCUGCCCAGAGGCGAGUUGGAACCUAGUUACACAACUUGGUACGGUAAAAGGUUUCAAGUCCAUCAAGAGCCCAAACGGCCCGCCAAAAGGCCCCAUGUCCAUCAAUUCAUUGAUGGAGCGCAAGAGCAAUGGGAUUGGUUGGCAAAAGAGGCAAGCUAUAGAGCCACAAUAAGCAAAUUGGAGGGACAUAUUCGAGACCUUAAAUUUGACAAAAGAGUACAAGUCGUUGCUGAUGAAGGGGAGAAAAAGAAAUUGGCCCAAGAAAACAAGGCCCUUCAAGCACAGAUCCAAAAAAUGAAAAUAGCUGCUGAGAAUCAGGAAAGGAGCUGAAAGGAUGAAAGACUCAUAAGUGGUCUUAGGAGGAAAAUAGCUGAGUGCGAAGAUGAUUUGGAAAAAUCCGAGGGUAAUCUGGUGAGAGCCCGGGCACAGUUAGCGAAGAACGCAGAGGGAGGAGCAGAGUUUGUCCAGCAAUUAAAAAGGAAAUAUGAGGGAGAAACCACCAAUUUGAAGGAAAAACUAACUACCCUUGAGAACGAGAUGGCCAAACAAACAAAAAGCUUCAAAGCAGAAAGAGAACACUGCUAUGCCCUGAUGUUGCAGUUAGAAAAAGACCUAUAACAACUUCAAGAGAAAAGUCAUACAGCUGAACAAGUUUUGGGGGCCAGGUCUCAGCAGAUCGGAUGGUUGCUACAAGAGAAGGGUAUUAUCAGAGAAAGGGUUAGGAGCAUUGCGGACUACAUUGUGAUGAAGUGCAAUGAGUGUGAAGACAUGACCAGGUCCAUGUUCUUCGCUUCUGUUAUGAUUUUUGUCCGACAGAUCAUGGAUGACCUAUUCCGCCUUCAAGAAGAUAUGGCGCAUAGGCUCGCGGCGAGACUGACUGAUGUCCUGCGGGCCCCUGGAGAAGUUGAGGCACUUAUGUAUUCAUGAUUUUCAUUCGAUUCUAUAUUUUUAUCUUUCUUCCAGAGUCUGUUAGUCCAUUUUCGAGUCUGUANNNNNNNNNNNNNNNNNNNNNNNNNNNNNNNNNNNNNNNNNNNNNNNNNNNNNNNNNNNNNNNNNNNNNNNNNNNNNNNNNUAUUUUAUUUUACACUUAUUCCCAGAACUACGCUUGGUCUGAUUCAUGCGGCGUCAUGAUAUGUAGGCAAUUCCCAUAGGAUUCGAUCAUAACCGUGAAAUGAAAAAAAAAGUAGAGGAGAGAAAACAAGAAAAACUGUGGGGAAAAAAUAAUGGCAAAAUAAGAGAGAAAAAGUGAGAGAAUAAAAUAAAAAAUAAAAAAUAAUAAUAAAAAAACAAGAACCAAGCAAAGAAAAGCAGGAAUGGAAAAGAGAGAGAAAGAAAUUGCAAAACAAAAAUUAGUGAAAGCCGGGAUAAUGCAAGCGGCCGUUCAAAUGCAUAAUAGAAAUGGUUAACUGCUUAGGUGCAUUGCAUCCCCAACGUGCGGUUACCUAUCUGUUAAGCUCUAAUCGCUAACGAGUUUGAUUGUUGUCAUCCAAUCAAGGCAGGUGGUUAGUUUGUUUGGCAUUCUGGAAACUCACCCGUACAACACCAGGUCCAAAGACAAGUUGCUCAUGGCUGGCCAAGAACUGGAUGCAAGUGUCAUUGAUCCGUCAAGGGAGGGGGAAGAGUCUGAUGUUAAUCUGAAAGAGGAGUUACAUAAGUUGAAACACCAAAUGGUAGAGAUGUACCAGGCAUGGGUGAAAGGGCAUCCACCACCAUCAUACCCUGCUAACCUUGCUUUCGUCCCGCCACUGGCUCAAUCCCAAGAACCUCUCACUACUGAUUCAUAUCUGGGCUUCUCCAUUUACCACCACUACCAAGACACCACUUUCCAAACCACACAAGCACCACCAGCUAAACCAAUCCCAUACCCCCCUCCACCAGCUACCCCUAUUUUCGUGGCACCCCUGCCUGCUACACUCUAUCGAUCCUCCAGUGAACCCUUAUUCGAGACCCAAGAUAACCAAUACUAUCCCCCGGAGCCUACUUUCAAGGCCCCAGAGCAUUACUCCUACACUCCUCGUUUCGACCUCCCUACUGAGACUGAGAAACCACUUAAAACCCCAGAGCAGGAGGAGAUGUUCAGGAAGGUAAGAAGCCUGGAACAAUCAUUUAGAAAUAUGUAGGGAUUAGGAGGCCAGGUGAGCGUAGCCUACAAAGAUUUGUGUCUAUUUUCCGAUGUUCAGUUGCCUGUUGGGUAUAAGAUGCCGAAGUUUGACUUGUAUGAUGGCCAUGGAGACCUGAUGGCCCAUUUGAGGGGAUUCUACAGUAAAAUGAGAGCAGUUGGUGGGAAAUAUGAGCUGUUGAUGGCGUACUUUAGCCAGAGUCUGAGUGGCACGUCAUUGGAGUGGUAAACUCGUCAGGAUCAUAGCAUAUGGUAUACAUGGGAUGAUUUGGCCCAAGCAUUCGCUCGUCAUUUCCAAUACAACAUCGAGAUUGUUCCAGAUCAUUUUUCUCUUACUAAGAUUGAGAAGAAGCCUAGUGAAAGUUUCAGGGAAUACGGUUUUCCCUGGAGAGAACAAGCGCCAAGAGUUAACCCCCCGAUGGAGGAGAGCGAAAUGGUAGAGUACUUUCUGCAGGCUCUGGAGCCUACCUACUUUGGCCAUCUGAUAUCGGCCAUAGGAAAGUCUUUCAACAAGGUAGUGAAGAUGGGUGGCAUGGUGGAAGAAGGGCUCAAAUCAAGCAAAAUCAUGAGUUACUCGGCCAUCAAAGCAACUACCCUAGCCAUUCAGAAUUGUACUGGAGGAGUGAUCGGAAAGAAGAAGAAAGAGGAUGUGGCAACAGUUGAUUCAGGAUCAUGGUUUAGACCCAAGGGCCCGUCACACCAUUAUACCCAGCCUCGACCUCAUUACCGAACCUACACCCAAACCCUAGACAAUCCACCCCAGCAUUACUUCCCAUCACCAGAUCCUCAGAUUUUUGUCCACCAUGCCCAGACAUAUACUCAACCUCCUGCCUAUGCACAAUGGCGUGCCCCACCACCACAAAACACCUACCCAGCUCCAUAAAAUGCUUAUCUACCCCCUCCCCCCCACGAGCCUACAGAAACCCUAACGGCCCAAGUUUCUGACCCAAUCUAGCAUUCAAAAAUGAGAGGUUGCAAUGAAAGAAAACUUUCACCCCGUUGGGGGAGUCUUAUACCAGUUUGUUCCAUAGAUUGAGGCAGUUGGAUAUGUUGAGGCCAAUUGAGUUGAAAUUGCCAAACCCUCCUCCAAAGAAUCUUGAUUACUCUGUGAGCUGUAAAUAUUGUUCUAGUGCUCUGGGGCAUGAUACGGAGAAGUGUUGGCAAUUGAAUAAUGCCAUCCAGGAGCCCAUUGACACAAACCGGAUUGAAGUCCAAACUCCAGAGGCACCCAACAUCAACCAAAACCCAUUGCCAACCCAUGAGGGAACAAACAUGAUCGAGAUAGUACACAAGGGGGGAGCCCAAGAAGCUUUCACAGUCUGUCAUGAUGAUUUGGUCCAGUGAGGUCAAGCCAGUCAAAAAACCAAUGGUUGAAGGAUCAGUGAACAAGUUGAGCAUGACAAACGAUGAACCAUCUAUGGUAGUUAAGAAAAGAUCCCCAAGUGAUGUUGUAGCAAAGCAAGAAAAGUCAAAAGUGGUCGUGCCAGGGUUGGCAAAUAAGCCCAUCAUAAUUGUAGAGGGUGCCCGUACAGAUCCUGUCAUCAUUAAGCCUGUAGCCCAAUUGUCGGUAAUCAGCACCAAGGCUAUCCUAUGGAACUGUGAACGGGUGAUAGUGACCUAUAAGGGAAAGGAAGUGAAAGAGGAAGUCAAUGAGGCCCGGGGAUUAACUCGUUCAGGGAGAUGCUUUGCCCCAAAAGAGUUAAGGAAAGCUAAAACAUCCAGAGAUAAUCCAGUUCUAGUAAAGAAAGCAGUCACUGAAGAAGAGGCGGAGGAGUUUUUGAGAAAAAUAGAGGUACAAGAAUACUCCAUCGUGGAGCAGCUGAGAAAGACGCCUGCCCAGAUUUCUUUGCUAUCGUUGUUGAUCCACUCAGAUGAGCAUUGUUGGGCCCUAAUGAAAAUUCUAAACGAAGCUCAUGUCCCCGACAAAAUUUCAAUGAACCAACUGGAGAAGAUCGCCAACAAAAUAUUUGAGGUGAACAGGGUCACCUUCUCUUAUGAUGAGUUGUUUGUGGAAGGUACUGAACACAACAAAGCUCUCUAUCUUACGAUAAAAUGUGAAGAUUCUGUGGUCACUAGGGUGUUAGUUGACAAUGGUUCCAGUGCAGACAUCUGCCCUUUUUCUACUCUGAACAAGUUGAAAGUUGAUGAUGAGAGAAAUCACAAGAACAACAUAUGCGUCCGAGGUUUCGACGGUGGAGGAAAAGACUUGGUCGGUGAUAUAGUGCUUGAAUUGACAAUAGGACUGAUGGAAUUCACCAUGGAGUUCCAGGUACUGGAUGUAGCCGUAUCUUAAAAUUUAUUGUUAGGUCGGCCUUGGAUACAUGCCGCCAAAGCAAUCCCGUCCACUUUGCACCAAAUGGUCAAGUUCGAGUGGGAUAGGCAGGAGAUCGUCGUGCAUGGUGAGGAGAAAUUAUGUGCUCACAGUGAUGCCUCCGUCCCGUUCAUUGAGGUUGAAGAUGACAAAGGGCCUUGGGUCUAUCAAGUUUUUGAAACAGUACCGGUCAAGAAGGUUCCAGAAGGGAAAUGAAUUCCAACUCCAAAGAUAACCUCUACAUCAGUCAUGGUGGCCUCUGAAAUGCUAAAAAAUGGCUUUGUGCUAGGUAAAGGUCCGGGUGCAUCCCUGCAGGGUAUCAUACAGCCAGUGUCCCUCCCUGAAAACUUGGGUACAUUCGGUCUUGGUUCAAACCUACAACGGCAGAUGUGAAAAGGGCUAAAAGGUUAAAACAGAAGGUGUGGGAAAUUCCAAAGCCUAUUCCGCGUCUCUCCAGGUUUUUUGUCAAGCUUGGUGCCAGGAAACGCCCAGUGACGACAGUUCCAAGUUCUGUGGUUGGCAUUGAUGAAGAGUUAAUUGAAAGGUUCCAGAGGUUGUUUGAUGAUGCAAACAUGGUAGAGGUUGGAGAAGGUUCUAGCAAAGCAGACGUGCAGUUUGUCGGGCCGAAUGUAAAUCUUAACAAUUGGAAAGCUACUCCUCUCCCUACUCUAAAGGAGUCUUGGUAGUUUGUUUUGUUUUCCUUUCUAUCUGGUUCAUUCCAGGGUUGUGACCCAGAUUUUUAUUUUCCGCUUGUUGAUGUACAAACUCUGUUAUCCUUUAUUUUUCAAUGAAAUGCAAUUUCCCUUUUCCAUCAUUCCUGAUAGUUUCAUAUUUGUUUUCUUUUCUUCUCUGUACAGUUCUUUUUAUGCUGGUUUCAAUGACAUGACAUGCAUGAGGAAUCUUUGGCUAGUCUUAAAAGUCAAUCUAAUUCUGAAAUAAUAAUCCAAGAAAUAGAGUGUGAUGAUGAAUCGGAAUNNNNNNNNNNNNNNNNNNNNNNNNNUAAAGUCCAAGAAGCAGUCUGAUCACGUCAAAGAUUUGAGAAAGUUUUUUCAAAGGCUCCGUAGGUACAAUCUCAAGCUCAAUCCUGCAAGUGCGCAUUUGGUGUUCCAUCGGGAAUACUCAUGGGGUUCAUAGUCAGUCGGCGGGGCAUUGAGUUGGAUCCGUCAAAGAUUAAAGCUAUCCAAGAAUUGCCACCACCAAAGAACAAGAUCGAGGUGAUGAGUCUGCUAGAGAGGCUGAACUACAUCAGCAGGUUUAUUGCUCAGCUCACUACAACUUGUGAGCCCAUCUUUAAGCUGCUAAAGAAGGAUGUUGUGGUCAAAUGGACUGAUGAGUGCCAGGAAAAAUUUGAUAAGAUCAAAGAGUAUUUGUCGAACCCACCUGUGUUGGUCCCGCCAGAACCUGGAAGACCUUUGAUUCUUUAUUUGACAGUCUUGGAUAACUCAUUUGGUUGUGUGUUGGGUCACCAGACUUCACUGGCAGGAAAGAGCAAGCUAUCUACUAUCUCAGCAAGAAGUUCACAUCUUAUGAGGUUAAGUAUACUCCCCUUGAAAGGACAUGUUGCGCCCUAACUUGGGUAGUACAAAAGUUGAAGCAUUAUUUGUCAUCUUACACUACUUACCUCAUUUCUCGCCUGGAUCCUCUAAAGUAUAUCUUUCAAAAGCCGAUGCCUAUAAGAAGGCUUGCAAAAUGGCAGAUCUUGCUCACAGAGUUUGACAUCAUAUAUGUGACUCUGACGGCGAUAAAAGCCCAAGCUUUGACCGAUCACUUGGCCGAGAACCCGGUCGAUGAAGAAUAUGAACCAUUGAGAACUUAUUUUCCCUAUGAAGAGGUGAUGCAUAUUGACAAAGUGGAGCAAGUUGAAAAACCAGGUUGGAAACUUUUCUUUGACGGAGCCGCUAACAUGAAAGGUGUCAGAAUAGGGUCUAUGCUUAUUUCUGAGAUAGGUCAUCAUUACCUUGUCACGGCCUAGCUUCGUUUCUACUGUACCAACAACAUGGCUGAAUACGAGGCAUGCAUUUUGGGAUUAAGGAUAGUCGUGGACAUGGGAAUCCAGGAAGUCUUGGUCUUGGGAGACUCGGACCUUCUGGUGCACCAGAUUCAAGGAGAAUGGGAGACACGGGAUUUAAAGCUUAUACCGUAUCGAAAAUGUCUACAUGAUCUUUGUCAACGAUUUCGAUCAAUAGAAUUCAGACAUAUUCCAAGGAUCCAUAACAAGGUUGCCGAUGCUUUUGCUACAUUGGCGUCAAUGUUACACCAUCCGGACAAAGCUUAUGUUGACCCUCUGCAUAUUCAAGUUCGUGAUCAGCACGCCUAUUGUAUGUGGUUGAGGAAGAAAUCGAUGGUGAGCCAUGGUUCCAUGACAUCAGGAUGUAUAUUAGGAUGGGGGUAUAUCCGGUACAAGCCGCAGGUGAUCAAAAGAGAACAAUUCGGUGUUUGGUUAAUGGAUUUUUCUUGAGCGGGGGAGUCUUGUACAGAAGAACUCCAGAUCUUGGGCUGUUGAGGUGCAUCGAUGCAAAGCAAGCCACGACUAUAAUGACCGAAGUACAUGUCGGAGUUUGCGGGCCACAUAUGAUCGGGUAUGUUCUGGCGAAGAAAAUUCUUCGAGUGGGGUAUUAUUGGCUCACCAUGGAACGAAAUUACAUCAGCUUUGUGCGCAAGUGUCAUCAAUGCCAAGUACACGAAGAUUUGAUUCAUUCUCCGCCAUUUGCAUUACACACAAUGUUCGCACCAUGGCCCUUUGUUGCUUGGGGUAUGGAUGUCGUCGGACCAAUUAAACCAGCAGCAUCCAAUGGACACAGGUUUAUUCUGGUAGCCAUUGACUAUUUCACUAAGUGGGUGGAAUCUAAAACUUUCAAAUCUAUAACCAAGAAGGCAGUGGUCGAUUUUGUUCAUUCGAAUAUCAUUUGUCAGUUCAGAAUCCCAAAGGUGAUCAUUACAGAUAAUGGUGUUAAUCUUAACAGUCAUUUGAUGAAGGAAGUGUGUCAACAGUUUAAGAUUACACAUCGAAAUUCCACCCCGUACCGCCCCAAGGAGAAUGGAGCAGUCGAGGCAGCCAAUAAACAUAUAAAGAAGAUACUUCAAAAAAUGAUGCAAGGUUCCAGGCAAUGGCAUGAAAAGUUGCAUUUCGCAUUGUUGGGUUAUCGCACUACUGUUUGCACUUCAGUAGGUGCAACUUCUUAUUUGUUGGUAUAUGACACUGAAGUAGUGAUACCCGUGGAAGUUGAAAUUUCGUCCCUUCGGAUUGUUGCUGAAGCCGAAAUCGAUGAUGAUGAAUGGGUCAAAACCCGUCUGGAGCAAUUGAGUCUGAUUGACGAGAAAAAAUUAGCAGUAGUGUGUCAUGGACAGUUGUAUCAAAAGAGAAUGGAAAGAGAAUACAAAAGAAGGUGCGUCCUCGGAAAUUUGAAGUGGGUCAGCAAGUAUUAAAACGCAUCCUUCCACAUCAGGCUGAAGCAAAAGGCAAAUUCGCCCCAAAUUGGCAGGGCCCGUUCAUUGUAACAAGAGUAUUGUCCAAUGGUGCUUUGUAUUUAACAGAUAUAGAGGACAAAUGUGUAUAUAUGGCUAUCAAUUCUGAUGCAGUCAAAAGAUAUUAUGUAUGAUUUCUUUGGUUUAAACUGUGUUUGUUUGUACUUGGCAUGUUUUGAAGAUUGAAAUGAUGAAGGCAUUUUAUUCUGCUAUCUAAACACUUUAUCCUUUGUUACCUCUUUAAGCCUUAUUUAUUUCCUUUAUACCCCCCCCCCCCCUUGGAAUCAGUAGCAAAAUUCAGAAGCACGAACGCAAAAGGAAAGUAAAGAAGAAAAAGAGAAGAGAAAAGAAAAAGAAAAGAAUGGAAAAGAGUGGAAAAAAAGAGAGAUAAGAAAAAAGAAAAGAAAAGGAAAAGAAAGAGAAAAGUACCAAAACAAAGCAAUUCCUAUGACAUAAACUACGUUCGACCUGAUUCUUUUUAAGGAUACGUAGGCAGCCUCACGGUUCGAUCCCAUCAAAAUAAAAAUUCAAAAGUCCCCAAGCAAAGAAACUGGGGCAGAAGUUGUGGUUGUUGCAAGAGAUCUGAUUCCAAAAGUUGUAAUUUUGAACUCAUUCAAAUUGUUUUGAGCCUUUCUAUAUCCUUUCUUUCUAACCCUAUCCAAAAGCCUACAUUACGGCCCAAAGAAAGACCUUCCGAUCAGUCUUCGAGAGAUGCCAAGUCGAGCAAGUAGAGGUGUGAUUCAUAUCAGGGGAAACACUCUAGUCUAAGCAAUAAAAAUGAAAAUGAGAGAGUCUUAUUGGUGAAAACCUUCUUGGGUACCGUAAGGCAAUGGAAAACUGAGAGAAAUUAAAAAAUGAGAGAGUCUUACAGGUGAAAACCCUCACGGGCACCGUAAGGCGACAGUAGGUUUGGGAUGAAUAAAUGAGAGAGGGUUGCUGGUGAGAACCCUUCAGGGCACCGCAAGACGAAUAAGGUUGUUGACUUUGCAAAGGAAUCGGAUUAUGGGAACCCCAGGGAUAAAGUGUGAAGACUGAAAAGGAUUGACCGAAUGGACUAGGCUGUUUAAUCCGAAAUGCAUGUCAUGAUCAUUGGUUCCAGCAGCUUCACUCAGAUAAGUCCCUUUUUCCUUACUUCCUCAAACAGUCCUUCUAUUUUGAUUUUUCUUCCCUACUCAUAACUCUCGAAGUCAUUGCAUUUCAUUUCUUUUGGGUUUAUAUCUCUAAGGUUUUUCCCAAUGUUAGCCUUGUUUAAGCAAGUAAGAAAGGAUUUCAAAGCUUACUACCAACUUCCAAAAUUGCACAAAGCAAAGUGCGGCCACAGCUUAGCAGAAAUAGCAUGAUGCGAAAGUGAAAAAUAAGGUGUUAACGAAAGUUCAGGCGGUCGAGUGGUUUGUGAACCUUGUGGGAGAUACAAAGGUUCAGGUAGAAAGGUCAGAAAUGUAUAACAACGGGUUGGGUGUAGAGCACUCAGGUCAUCCAGGGUCCUGCGGUUGAGAUUCAGUCAGAAGUUAAACAAUUCUUAGCCAGUUCAAAGCAGCCAGAGUAAAGCACGGCAAUGGGGAGGCCACCUUCAGCAAGAAAGCCACAAACUAGUCACCAUGUUUUUCAAACUGAUAAAGUUUUUCUUUGAUUAAAACAGGGGCAGGAAAUCUCGUUUCUCCGGAGGAACCCUCCAUAAGGAAAGCAUGUACCGGACAGGUUCGAUCGUAAAUUCUUAGAACUCUCAUGGACAAUGGGAUUUAGUUAAAAUUCAGAACAUUCAUAAGUAACAAGAUCUAGCAUAAGCUCUACUUUAAGUAACAAAAAUACAACGCAUUACAUUUAGGAUUUAUUUUUACAUUUUUGAGGUUAAUUAGUGAAUUAGUUGCUUUAUUAAAAUUAAAAAUCACAAAAAAUUUGGCUUACUUUUACAUUUUAGCCUUUGAAUUUCAAAUUAGUGAUUUCCUCUCUUAAUUUAGGAGUAAUUAAUUCUUAUAAAUAUUAUAGUAGAUACUUAAUUUUUUUAAAUUAAUUAUUUUAGGAGUUUUUAUUUAGAUUUUAAUUAUUUAAUAGGAAAAGAGAAAAAUUGAAAAAAAAAAAAGAAAGGAAAAGAGGAUUAAAAAUAUGGCUGAUUUUUAUUGGACCAAUUGUUAAAGCCCAAACCCUUUUUCUCACCAACCCACCCCGGCCCAGCCAGUAACCCAGUCCAAUUUCCCCUAUUAGUUGAACGACGUUGUUUCCCCCCUUAAAAUCCCAACCGUUGAUCUCCAUUGAUCAAAUGGUUGGGAACUAAGGCUUCCCUUGAUAUUUAAGUGUCGGAACUGGUACCCCCCCCCCCCAGUCAACCCCCUCUCACUUCACCUUCUCUGCAGAAACCCUAGAGACACCGCCUUGAAAUCCUCUGCCAGCGACGACGCCUCAGACCAUCCCAAACACCACCAAUUUAACAUCCUAGAUUCCCCGUCACCUCCUCUUUCAGAAUAUCCCAACCGAUUCCCUCAAAUCCCCGCCUAGGUAUUCGAAUAUUAGAUCUAAACUCAAACCCAAAAACCCUAAUUCAAUCAAACCACUCCAAAAUCACACCCCCACACUCUUCACACUCCUCUGAACCCUAAACUACCAUCACCUUCCCAAAAAACCCCCACCC